AGUCUCUCUCCAUAGGGAGGCAUCCGAAUCAGAGGCUCCUGCAACUUUUCUUUUAUCUUUCAAUGCCCCUUGGCAAUCAUUAUUUCGCCUGACCGUUUGAUCUUUCUUUUCAACAUCCUGAAUAUGGGUUCACACGUGGCGGUUUAGAUGAGAUGUGAACCAUGACAGGUAGUUCAAUCUUUCUAAGAAACCACGAACCUACUCUUUUUCCUUUUUCUCGGUUCAGGCGUUUCCCUUAUUGUUCUUUUUUUUUUUUUUUUUUUUUUUUUUUUUUUUUUUUUUUUUUUUUUUUU
rnacentral:lncRNA from 1 species